rnacentral:other from 1 species
GUAAUACUAUUGAGAGAUUCGGCUUAGAUGGUUAAAUUAAAGGUGUCGGCAGGAUGCGGACACGGAACAGGAAAGACCCAAGGAUUUGGUCAUCUUCAGGACGAAGAUUUAGCCAUCGAGGAACGAUGGUUAGCUAGGAUUGCGAAGGACACCGCUAGGACAGCGAUGUUAUGGAAGUGCUGAAGGAUGCAGCGUACUAUCAAGGAUAUGAUGCAGGGAGCACUUAUUAGUAGCUGGAUUGCUGCGAGUAAGAAUAGACCCCGUUAGGCUUUGCCUAGCGGGGUUUUCUUUUAUA